UAAGGAGACGGCCGCUUCUCCAUACAAACGUAGUCCCCAUUUUCCUCCCUGGAUAUUGAUAUUAUGGAAAAUAUUUUUACAUAAUGAGUUACAGUUAGGUUCCGUAGCCAAAUGGCAAAAAACGGAACCCUUAUGGAUUCGUCAUGUCUGUCUGUCUGUCUGUCCGUCCGUAUGUAACAGCCACUUUUUUCCGAAACUAUAAGAACUAUACUGUUGAAACUUGGUAAGUAGAUGUAUUCUGUGAACCGCAUUAAGAUUUUCACACAAAAAUAGAAAAAAAAAACAAUACAUUUUGGGGGUUCCCCAUACUUAGAACUGAAACUCAAAAAUUUUUUUUUUCAUCAAACCCAUACGUGUGGGGUAUCUAUGGAUAGGUCUUCAAAAAUGAUAUUGAGGUUUCUAAUAUCAUUUUUUUUUAAACUGAAUUGUUUGCGCGAGAGACACUUCCAAAUUGGUAAAAUGUGUGUCCCCCUCCCCCCUGUAACUUCAAAAAUAAGAGAAUGAUUAAACUAAAAAAAAUAUAUGAUGUAGAUUACCAUGCAAACUUCCACCAAAAAUUGGUUUGAACGAGAUCUAGUAAGUAGUUUUUUUUUAAUACGUCAUAAA